ensembl:lncRNA
AUGUUUUUUUUCAUUUUUUUAUUUUUUUCAUGAAAAAAACAUAAUAUACCACAGUCCACAAUAUACAGUAUGCAAUAGGCUGACACAAUAAUACAGUAAUGUAAGUUUGAUUUGACCCGUUUUACUUCAUAAAAGGUAAACUCUUUGUUACAAACAUUCAAAAUCCAAUCCAGUGUACUCCUGCAUAUGUACUAAACAGCUUCAUUCACCAAUCAACUUUUUUAUCCUGAUGCCUCAACAUGAAGUGAAUAAAGACCAGAGCCGUAGCUGCCAUUCAGGACAAUGUCUUCAGUGUUUUAGGAGGUUAAUGGGGAUUAGCAACCUAGGGGAAUCUACAUCCCAUAAUCAAAAACUUGAUGGGUGUUUUUUCAUUGGCAGUGAAGAACAGCAUUCAAAUCAAAUCAAAUUUAUUUGUAUAGCCCAAUAUCACAAAUUAUACAUUUGUCUCAGUGUGCUUUACAGACUGUACAGGAUAAACAACAUAGUAAAAAUAACAUUUGACAGAGAAUGAUGUUGUAUUGAAAAAGAGAAAGUUUGCAUUUAGCAUUUAAACCUUUAUGUUGGGAAAAAUAUACAGAAAAUAUAUUUUAACAGCUAAUUAGUGGACUUGAACUCAUGACCUCAUUACUUACUAACACAAUUUUCUAAACCUUCCUUGUAUUUACUUUUUCUCACAGUUCUCACAGUGCAGUCAUAUCAAUGUUCUUGCCCUCACCUACCUCUUCCUCAUUCCAGAUGGCACUUCCAGAGAACUGCUUUAGAUCUACUAACAAUCCAGUCCCUCCACGUGCUUCAUCUUCAUCUUCACCUUCCCCAUCUCCCACUUUCUCCUCUGUCUCUCCCUUUGCCUCUGCCUGAUCCGUUACACUGGCUUGAUCCUCUGCUUCCGAACUCAAACCUAAGUUAUCAUCUGAAGUGUCUCCUCUUCCCCUUGCCUUAUCACACUGCUCUACAUCAUCAUUAUCAUCCUCCUCUUUGUCAUCUACCUCACUGUCACUCCCCUCGCUAUCACCCUCCUCCACCUGUCCCUCAUUAGAAUCACUUUGAGGCCACAGUUGGACUCCGAAACGUGUACCCAGAGCUAGCCCUGCCCCUCUUAUCCGGUCCCUGACCCCUCCUUCCUUAUACACCAUGCGCCGCACGGUAUAUUCUCCAUGUGUAUCCCUGUUCAACUUCUUGUACAAGAAUACCAACAAUAUAAUCAAGACAAUUAGGAAGAUAAAAAGGAUCAGCACAGUCCGAGUGGAUGAUUGAUCUGUGACAGUGUCAGACAUGCCUGAAGUGAAGAGAGAGAAAGGGGUUAGCAUGGUCACACAUUAGGAUUCAUUGAUUUCUCUGAAUGUGUUUGUAUUCAGUGGCACUGUCUCUUGGGUCAGAAUAAAUAGUUAGACAUUUUGGGACAUACACAUAUUUGCUUUCCUGCCAUUAACUUGUCUGUGCGGUUAAUAGGUGAAGCAGCUAGUUAGCUUAGCUUACAUAAAUAGCUAGCCUGGCUCUGUCCAAAGUCUCCAGGCUCAAAUAAAUAUUCCAGCACAUAACCCCCUGUAAAACCGCUAAGCGUGUUUUUACACUUUGAUUUUUGUACACAGGCCAGGCUUUGUUACGUUUCCUCGUUUCCAGUCUUUAUGCUAAGAUUAAGCUAGCUGGCUGUAGCUUCAUAUUUACUGUAGGCCUACAGAGUGUUAUGAAGUUUCUCAUUUAGAAAAAAAGUGAAUAAAUGUAAUUCCUAAGAGGUUAAUUUUACGAUUAAUUUAGUAGCUCUUCUGAUUGGGAUUAUUUUUUAUUUGAAAGAAAUUCUAACCUAUACACCUACUUCGGCGCCACAUGGGUGUGGUUUGUCAUAUAAAACAAUACCUUGUGUGCAAGGGAGACUAGAUGAUGCCAGCAAAUAAAUGUCAUUUUUUCGGAGGCAACAACAGGUUGACGCUAAAUAGUAUGUGGGCCGUUUAAACCAUGUCUAAAUACUAUUCCUUUCCAAGAGCACUAGAUAUCCUCUCAAAGUUAUCAAGCUGUAAAUCCUACAAAACUGAGACAGAAUAUAUUUUGAAAUAUAUUUUACCUCCUUUUCCUUUUCCUUUCCCUGUUGAGUAGAAAAGUCCCUUUGGCUUGGUGUCACAGGCAGAAUCUUGCAGUCAAACUCCUUGUACUUUAAAGCAGUUGUUAAUUUUUCAUUGGAAGAAGAUCCACUCAUAAAUUUAUAUUCAGGAUCUAGAAAAAAGAAAAUUAGAAAACUAAAUAACAAUGCAUGGUGUUUCUAGCUAAACCUUUAGAUGGCUUAACAUAAAAUGUUAUCCAUUCAGUUUAAUUUUGCAGUGGCUUUUCAGGUUUAGCUCAUUCAAAAUUAUCGAGGAUUGCCAAUAAUUAUGCUUUAAAAAUCAAUCCAAGGCAUUAAUAUAUUUGGGAAGCUGCUCAAUUUGAACAUAAAAUACUUUUUAGAAUACUAAAAUGUUAUUCUGACACAAUUUUUCAUUUUUUAAUACAUUUACAAUCCAUGCUGGCUGAAAUGUUCAUAAUUGUAAUUCAAACGUAAAAUGGAGAUGUGACAGGAAGUAUUGCCUUGAUCUUGUAUGACUGUCUGCGUUGUCUGAGUGUGACAGGAAGCUAGCAGACCGCUCGCAGCAUUGCUGGUUUCCUGUCAUAAAUGAUAAGCGAACAGCAUUAGUCAGUCUGCCAUGAGAGGAAACUUUUUAGGCAUGGUAAAUGAUACUAUAGAUCAGACAUAAAGUGUUGUAACAUAAAGUUUAAUAAAAAAAAAAUACAGAUGUGAAAUAAGUGCACUUAACGUCCGCUAAAAGCUGUAAUGCGUGAGGAUAACUGACCUUGGCGGUAAAUUAAUACCUUCAAUACUGUAAUUAUACAACCUUUUAAAAGUCCAUUAAAUUAAAGACAAGUAUCUAAACUCAGAAUUAUGUAUAUAUAACCGUAAUUAAAUACAGAAGAGCAGACAAAAAAUGAGGCAUUAAUAUUAUAAUUAAUUAAGUAUAGACAAAAAUAUGUGCAGCAAAAAUUAGUUAAAAAGCUGUUCAAAGUAUUUUAAAAAAGGAAGGAACUAAACUGUAUAACACUUACCCAAGUUGUGAGCAGAAGUUAAAGUUUGUGCUGCCAGAACAAUGGUAAGAGACUGACUUGUGUGAUCUAGGAUAGUUUUUGAACCAUGUGAGAGCAAGUGUGUGUGUGUGUGUGUGUGUGAGAGAGAGAGGGGGUGAUGCAUGAAAUGUGGUGAAGAAAGCUUGCUGCAGCCCUUUGGGGUAGGUGGAGGCUGAAGGGGAUGUGAACAGAAAAUACCAAAUCCAGCAGGGUGUGGUGGAAAGCACAGAUAAUAAUGUGCAAUUGUUUAUGGAGACAAGAAGACAUACACAAUUGAUUUUUUCCCCUGUACAGUUUACGUGUCACUUUCAGUUUUCAGCACAGGUGCGGUUACAUUAUAUUAAGUUUAUUAGGAGCAUUCAUACCCUUUACUGACUAGAACUCACCAACAGGAAAUGUACAUGAUAGAGUGUAUUAAUUUCCUGUGACAGAUUGCUAUCUUGUACAGUCAUGUCAGCGGGUUGCAGAUAAUAACACCUCAAGUCCACAAACGUCAGCUGGGGGUGAACAUGAUGUUUAAAAAAUAAUAAUAAUGUAACUUUUCACUUUGAAGUUAUGCAUUUUUGACAUUACACUGAAAAAGAGGAGUCUAAAAGUGUUACACGAGCCAAAGACAACCCUAGAAGCUAAACCGUGAUCAAGAUAAUUCUUUGAUUUAAGCAAAAAUAUUAAGAUUAUUAUUACCAACUACAUAUUUGAUCCAAUCAAAGUUCAAGAGCAGUGCACAGCUUUUCAAUGUGAAACAAGUCGGCCACAUCCUGUUUUCAUUUCGUCGGCCAGGUCGCUAUAGCCACUGCACCCAACAAAAAGAGGUGUACCAAAUGUGUACAGUCAUUUUACACUGUAAUACCCAGUUGAGGAAAUAAACAUGAGAAUCUUUACACAGUCACAGUAAUACUUUUGGUUUUGCUAUUUUCCUUUAAGAGUGUAAGGUUGUAUUUUCUUUUUACCUUAUCCAUUGUACUUGUUCUGUCUUUUGACUUCAGAAAUGAUGGUUUGUUUGUUUGUUUUUAAUGUCCAUACUUUUGCGAAGAAAAUGUAAUCUGAUUCUAAUAGGUGUUUAUACAGAAAUCCAUGUUCUAUCUGCAACUCUUCAAUAGAGAUUUGAACUUUUAGAAGCUGGAACACCUAUCUUCAACCUCAACAAGUUGAGCUGGACUGAGUUCUGGGAUUUCUCUGAAGCUGUUUCAAUGUUGAUGGCUGAACAGAGUGAUUGUUCUGUUGUAUUACUGCCCUAAUCUGGACUACAGUGCCACCCUUGUUCAUGACACCACCAUCAGCCUCUUUUAUGCCGAAUGGUGGCUUCUG